rnacentral:rRNA from 1 species
UACGUAGGGUGCAAGCGUUGUCCGGAAUUAUUGGGCGUAAGAGCUACGUAGGCGGUCAGUCGCGUCUGCUGUGAAAACUCGGGGCUUAACCCCGGGCCUGCAGUGGGUACGGGCUGACUAGAGUGCGGUAGGGGAGACUGGAAUCCUGGUGUAGGCGGUGAAAUGCGCAGAUAUCAGGAGGAACACCGGUGGCGAAGGCAGCUCGCUGGGACGUUACUGACGCUGAGACGCGAAAGCGUGGGGAGCAAACAGG